CCCGCCGCCGUUAAAAAAAAAACCGCUCGCACGACCUCUCGCUCUUGACCUGUCGCCCCUCGUCCUUCUCCUGCGCCGUUCGCCGCCUCGCCCCGCGCCCUUCGCCGCAGGUCGCUGCCGGAGCCGCCCUGCCCCGCCCCGCCCCGCGCCUUCGCCGAGACGCCGGAGCCGCCCCGCCCUGCGCCCUUCGCCGAGCCGCCGCAGGUCGCGCCGGAGCCGCCCGCUGUUGGAGCCGCCGCAGGUCGCGUCGGAGCCGCCGCGGGUCGCCAGCGCCCUUCGCCGUAGUUCGCCGUUAGCGUCAGAUCAAUCUCUGUUUUGGGGAUGAUGAAGCACAUUAAGGAAUAAGAGGCAUAUGAGGUUCUGAUGUAGCCGGGUUCGCCGUUACCGCCGAAUUGGGACUGCUCAAUUGGUUCUGGACAAUACAACAAAAGAAAUGUGCAUAUUGUCCACAUCUGCAGGUUGUUAGUUCAUCAAAGGCGGCUACUAAGUAUACAUACCGUGUUCAUCUCGCCUGCCUUCUUAGGAAAAAUCCUAUACUCAAGGUAAGUUAUUCUUUAUUUACAUUUAAUUUGUUUCUUCCUGCUACUUGUACAAUUUGCUACAUAAAUAUUUUGACUCCUUUCCUGAAUUUUAGAUCCUAUUUGCACCGUUACCUGCAUUUUGUAUUCAGAACCAUCUGCUAAUUAAGUGUAGAAAAAAUGCUUGCGAGUUCUGUUUGUUGACUGUGUCGUGGUAGCUUCACGCAUUUAGCUGUACAUAACUGCCAAAGUAGGCAAACAAAUGUAGGUCUGAUUAAGUGAUCAGCAUGCAUGCAUGAGCUACUUACUGUUAUUUAGAGAUGCAGUCUGACAAUAGUAACUUCAUUUGCUCAGAUGCUCACCGAAUUGCGGAGAAUGGCUCAUUUUUCAGCCCAAUUCUGACACAUACCGUACCAGGCCAAAGUAUUUUCCUUUUAGAUUAUUAUUCCACAGCUCCAUAAUGCCCAUCAUCAGUAAGUUAAUCAAGAUAAGUUUGACAUGCAUGUACUGAACAAACAAAUCUUCGAGAGCAACCAAUUCUGUGAAACUUGCUGCUCUUUUCUGUGUCGUCUAAAUGUAUCUUGUAUAUGUGAUUAUCGAGUUUUUUCCCCUAUACCAGGUAUCAUCUGAAGGGGCGACAUACCCAAUUCUCGGAUUCCUCAAGCAACAGAUGUAGUGUUGUCAAUCUCUGAAGAUGCGAAUCCGUCUGCUCGUAGACAACGACAGAGGGAUGAUUGGGAUACUAAAAGCCACAAUGUAUCGAGGCUUAGUGGAGUCAGUCACCAGCCUCUCCGUUGUUUGAACAACUGAACAACAACAUCAAGCGGCGCCAAAACAUAUUGCUGAUCUGAGAGACAUCCGAGACAUGAAUGAGGAAAAAAUGAGAAGGUCGGCCAUUGUUGGCUCAAGCUCAGGAGGUGGUCGAAAGCCUGGCUCCACAUGGUCCUAGCACUACUGUCACACAUGGUGUUCGGGCCACUUCCACCAGUGCUCUGCGGGUUGUCGUUCCGCGAGAGCAAUGACGGGGAGAACAAGAUGAUGCGGUGCUUUGCUCGCCUGCAUUGCGCUGCUUGCGCUCGGGACGUGCAUGUCUACAGAAGAGCCAUGACAUACUUCAAGACUCUAAUUUACUACCUGACCAUCGCCGCGAGCUUGUCCGGGAUAUCGUACGUUGCCGAUGUGCUGAUCACGAGGCUUCUCAAACACUUUGGCACCAUCGAUCUAGGUGGUGCAUUGGCUCCUCAUGCUUCUCUAGGCCUGUUAUUCUCUCAUUUAGGUCAUGCACAUACGUCUGCCUAGGCCUCACUCUGAAUGCUUAAGAGGCUGUUUGGUUUGUGACUAACUUUGCCAAAGAUUGCCACACCUAAGGUUAGGCAAGUUUGGCCAACUUAGGUGAGUGUUUGGUUCAAGCCACACCUUAGGCAAGCCACACUUGUGCCCCACAUGGCAUACACACAAAAAGUGUGGCAAGAUUCCCUUAGGCUUGCCAACUUGUGGCUCUCAUUUUGAUGAAUUAACCUUAGGCAAGUUUGGCAAGAAUGUGUGGCAAAGUAUGGCAAUGCUAGUCCUAUAACCAAACAGCCCCUAAGUUCCUCGGAGCACUGAUUGUAUAAAAAGAGAAGACAUGUGUGAAUUCAAGAGAAAGUGCACGAAGAAACAUCUGAAUCUUUUUGAGUUGCUACA